rnacentral:rRNA from 1 species
UACGUAGGGGGCUAGCGUUGUCCGGAAUCAUUGGGCGUAAAGCGUGCGUAGACGGCUAUCUAAGUCGGGUGUGAAAGCCCCGGGCUCAACCUGGGAAUUGCAUUCGAGACUGAAUAGCUAGGGUACGGUAGAGGGAAGUGGAAUUUCCGGUGUAGCGGUGAAAUGCGUAGAUAUCGGAAGGAACAUCAGUGGCGAAAGCGACUUCCUGGACCAGUACCGACGUUCAGGCACGAAAGCGUGGGGAGCAAACAGG